rnacentral:rRNA from 1 species
CCUACGGGAGGCAGCAGUGAGGAAUAUUGGUCAAUGGGCGCGAGCCUGAACCAGCCAAGUAGCGUGAAGGAUGACUGCCCUACGGGUUGUAAACUUCUUUUAUAAAGGAAUAAAGUGUGGCACGUGUGGGUUUUUGUAUGUACCAUAUGAAUAAGGAUCGGCUAACUCCGUGCCAGCAGCCGCGGUAAUACGGAGGUUCCGAGCGUUAUCCGGAUUUAUUGGGUUUAAAGGGAGCGUAGCUGGGUUGUUAAGUCAGUUGUGAAAGUUUGCGGCUCAACCGUAAAAUUGCACUUCAUACUGGCAGUCUUGAGUACAGUUGAGGUCGGCGGAAUUCGUGGUGUCGCGG